UUCCGGUUGAUCCCGCCGGAGGCCACUGCUAUUGGGAUCCGACUAAGCCAUGCGAGUCGAGAGGGUUCGGCCCUCGGCAGACUGCUCAGUAACACGUGGAUAACCUAACCUUAGGUGGAAGAUAACCUCGGGAAACUGAGAAUAAUAUUCCAUAGAUCUAGGAUGCUGGAAUGCAUCUAGAUUGAAAGUUCCGACGCCUAAGGAUGGGUCUACGGACUAUCAGGUUGCUAGCCUACGACGGAUAUGGGUUGUGAGAGCAAUAGCCCAGAGACGAUAUCUGAGACACGAUAUCGGGCCCUACGGGGCGCAGCAGGCGCGAAAUCUUCACAAUGUGCGAAAGCACGAUGAGGGGAUCCCAAGUGCUGGCACGUAAGUGUCAGCUGUUUCUUAGUCUAAAAAACUGGGAGAGUAAGGGCUGGGUAAGACGGGUGCCAGCCGCCGCGGUAAUACCUGCAGCUCAAGUGGUGGCCGCUAUUAUUGGGCCUAAAACGUCCGUAGCCUGUUUAGUAAAUGCUUGGGUAAAUUGUGUAGCUUAACUAUACGAAUACCGGGUAGACUGCUAAACUUGGGACCGGGAGAGGCUAGAGGUACUCCUGGGGUAGAGGUGA
rnacentral:rRNA from 1 species